GGGAACAUGCGUAUGACAAUAUUUCUCAUCGUGUUGUCUGUGAGCUUGGCAGAUGAUACUUUUGAAAGAUGCAAAAUCUUCAAGGCAAUCAGGCAGGAUCUUGAAAUUCUUAAAAAACUCAAGAAUGAACCAAUCAGCUUUAUCUCUGCCAACUCCCAUUUGCUAGUACCAAAGCAAGAUAAUCAGUGUUCAUGUGACAUGAUGAUUAUGAAAAAUCUACAGGACCAGCUACAGAAAGUGAAUAAAACCAAACUUUCUGAACAACACAAGGCAGUUGUGGAAAUGAUUAAAAUAAAUCUAAGUCUUCUGCCACUUUCCACGGCGAAGGGAGACUGCAUGGUCCCAUGGCGGCUCAGGAACACAUGGAGUUUUUUAAACCCUUACCACAGGUACAUCCUGAGAUGUCACCAAAUGCGAUGUAAUCACUCUUAAUGGGAAUAGCUGCUCCAUAGACAAUUCAUUAUUAUUCUUAUCCUAACUUAUU